GCCCGUGCAAACUCUGUGGAAGCUGCAGUUACAGCUGCAACAGAGGAGGUGACACAGCCAUAACACCCGAUAGUGCAGAAAAACUUUACAGAAAUACGAGGUCUGGUCAUCUUCCUGAAGGUUCAGAAUUCUGAAAACUCCGGAUGUCUGACCUGGUGUCCAGUCCAGGGGGAAGUAGAAGGAGAAUGGGAUCUCGAUGGAGCCGCCCUGGACACCAGAGAGACGUGCUGGCUGGUUCACCCCAUAGGAUCCACGGUCCUCAGACCCCUUGACCUGAGCCUGACACAAACUCUCCUGGCCUCCCUGCCAGCUGCAUAUGGACACACUCCUAUGUCCAUCCUACACUUAGGAAAGACGAGGAACAGAGGCUCUAGAUGCUGCUGUCUGGGCCUCCCAAGUCCUGGAUUACAGGUGUGCACCAUCAUGCCCCUUCAUAUGCUGCUGCAAGGAUAAUCUUGGUUCUGAGCAUGCCAGGCAAGCGAGCACUGUACCAGGGGAACCCCGUCUUUACCCUCAGCAAGGUCUGUGAGGGUGACUCCUGGCCAUGAGUUCUCACCUCCAGGUUCCAUCUGCCUUUCCCUCACUGUCUGGGGCCUGUGGGUAAAAGAUGAGCUGAUGUCUGACUCUCCUAAGCAGGGUCUGGACCUGACAGGACGGCCACAUGUCAGCUUCUGUCCCAGCACACUCACAGCAGCCCUGGCAGGUUCUGCAGGACCCCAGCUCCCCUGUGUUCAGCCCCACUGCUGCCCCCUGCUGGCUCCCUAACCCAAGUCCUGGGCUCUGCUCUGCUUCCAGUCUGGACUAGUUGGAUCCCCAUGGACACCCUGCUGUGGGUGUGAUUUCUGUCCAGGACGCUGUGGGCAGUCUCCUGCAGUGUGGUCCUGCUUCCCCAAACCAGUGACGGGCCCUCCAGCCAUGAUGCUUUCCCAGGGGAGGAGACGUUCUGUGGAAGAGCAGCCUGGGGUUCUGGUGUGCACACAGGGGCUUUUGCAUACAUGUGACCACUGGCAGUGUCAGAUUGCAGUGUUGGGACCUGGGUGUAUCUCAGAGACAAGUGUGCCCUCAUGCCACAGAAUAACAAGCAGUGUAAUUUGAAAUAAACAAACAAAAAACAAAAAAUCUUAAGUGCAUUUGGUCAUAUGUGAUUAUAAUUCUAACUUGUGAGAGGCAGAGGCACAUGCAUCUCUGUGAGUUUGGAGCUAGCCUGGUCUUUAGAUCUAGUUUCUCUGUCUCCAGAAAACCAAAACAAAAAACCAAACCAAAACAACAAUCCCACAUAUCAAUAUACCAUCCGGCUGAGCACAGAAUCCCAAGGUUGAUAGCCAAGGUGGAUGGAGUCCCGAG